ensembl:snoRNA F54F11.6 ncRNA
AGUUCCAUUUCUGGCGGAAGGGGCAUUGAUACCUAUUAGGUAUUACCUAAUAGGAAUCAAUGGAACUUCAAGCUGAGCCCCUUGGGAUCCAGAAUGUGUUUCAGUCAGCUGAAACCAGUGUGUGAAAGAAAUAAAUGAAAAAAAAUAAAUGGCUUGUAUUUCACAGGCAGU